UAGAGCACCCGCGAUGGAUGGAGACGGCUUCGACGUUUGGGGUUCGCAGCCAUCGGCAAGCGGCCCUGCUACCCAUGCCGGUCUCGACCUCAACUCGCAAGCACCGGUGUCGGAGGGGUUCCCGGGGCUUGGGCUCUACGGAGCCUUCCUCCAGAGCGAUGAUGACGAGCUCCUCCCUGGGCGCGUCAGGGGCUCCGGGCUCCCUCCCUAUCGCCCACCCUACGCCCGGCGACUGAACUUCGGCGGCUCCUCAGCGGCGGCAGCCGGUCGCGGAGGAGGAAACGGUGGCAUGUUCCUUGGCGGGUCGUCGUCGGGGGCAGGCGGCGGUGUUCGGCAGCGCGCCAACUCGGCCGCCGCGGCACCCAGCCGCCGUAACCAGCGCACCGGCACGGCGUUCAGUGGCGGCGACGUUCGGCAGCGCGCCAACUCGGCCGCCGCGGCACCCAGCCGCCGGGCACCGAGGAGUGCUGUCCGUGCGCAAGCAUCCGGCUCUGGCGCUCCCUUUGACAAUGGUGAUGAAGAAUUGGAGGAUGACGUGGAAGAGUUUGCGAGCUCCGGAGGUCCCUCGGUGAGCCAAAACAAUCGAGCCCAAUGGAAUGAUGCUAAUAGUGCUUGCUUGUUAGAAUUGUGCAUUGAGCAACGUGCAGCAGGAACGUAUAAUGGUGUAACAAUGACUGCUGAAGGGUACCAAGCUGUUAUGGACGGCUUACUUGCUAGAAGGGGGUUGGUGUAUUCCCGUGUGCAGGUGAAGAACCAGAUAGUCGUACUCAAAAACACCCACUCCUUUUGGCGAUACAUGCAAGUGCACACAGGGUUGGGGAGGAAACCAGAUGGAACCAUUGAUGCCGACUCUGAGUUCUGGAUAACACACACAGAGAAGAAACCAUACCUAAGGAAGUUGCAGUGGGGUCCUCCAGCAAACGAGGAGUUGCUUGAUCAACUGUUCAGAGGUUGCACCGUGGAUGGAAGCACAGCCUUUGUGCCUGGAGAUGAUUAUGGUCAGACUCAAGGGCAAGAUGCAGGGGCAGAAGAGGAGUUUCAAGGAACACCUACAAGUACAAGCAACCAGAGGAGCCAGAGGGGCAAGAGGUCAUUAAGCACUUCAAGCACUUUGACUAGUCCAUUGAAGAAGAGCAAGAGCCCAAUGGUGAAAAUUGUCAAGGACAUAGCCAAUACCUACAAGGAGUCUGUCGCAGCCAACACUAAGCAAAUGCAGAAACGUGCAAAUGAGAAGGCUGCAUUUUCUGUGAAGAGGUGUCAGGAGCUGGCAUUUGAGUGCGGUGUUCAGCAAACAGUUGACUCUGUCUAUGCUAUGUCCAAGAUGUUCGAAACGGAGUACCAAAGGGAGUUCUUUUGUGGCCAAUUAACUGCUGAGCUUAGGUUGGGUUACUUCAAGAAAUGGUGCAGAGACAACAAUUUGGAGUAGUUGGGAAGUGUGUGUUAAGAUGUUGAACCUAUUUAAAUUGUUGUAUGUUGAACCUGUCAUGUGUUUGUGAGGCGUUGAACUAUUAUUUGUGUUGAACCUAUUUUGUUUUAUCUGCGGGCCGAAUUAAUUUCAUUUGCUUACAUUCCUUCAAGUUUUAUGCUAUGUGUUGACGAUUUGGUACAUGUGUUGAAGCAGGAAGAAGAUCAUGUCCCCAUGACUGAGGAAGAAGAAUAUGAUGGAGGUAGCACAAGUGAGGAUGAGAUCAUAUCCAUGUGCCGCAACAAUUUGGUGCAGUCCGAGAAUUUAAUCUUGAAGUUGGUUCCUAUCUUGGGCACAAUGAAACCAGUCAGAAUGUGCUUGCUGUUUGUGAUUUCGACAUGAGAUUUACAUUUGUGAUGUCGGGAUGGCCUGGUUCAGCACAUGACAUGAGAGUUUUCAAAGAUGCCGUAACUACUCAUCAAGACAAAUUUCCACAUCCACCACCAGGGAAGUAUUAUGUGGUUGAUGCAGGAUACCCAAACCGGCCAGGCUACCUUUCACCAUACAGAUGUACAAGGUACCAUGUGCAACAAUGGCAAAAUGGCCCGCCGCCACAAGGUAUGAAAGAAACCUUCAACCAUGCACAUGCCAAAGUUAGGAAUGUCGUUGAGCGAUCCUUUGGAGUGUUGAAGAUGAAAUUUAGGAUUUUAUUGAACAUGCCAAAAUUUCUAGAGGACAAGCAAAGUAGAAUUAUUGUUGCCUGUAUGGCUCUUUAUAAUUUCAUUCGAGAGAGCAGAAUUGCGGAUAGGGAAUUUGAUGCUUGUGAUGCAGAUGAAAAUUAUAACCCAAUGCCUAGUUCUUCUGCAUCCGCAUGGCCAGAAGACGAACCUCUUGUUGAAGAUAUCAACAUGAAUGCCUUCCAUGAUGAGUUAGCUCAUACUUUGUUUUAUGGAGUGUAAUAUUUUUUGAAGCUUCGAUUGACGACUUGUAUGUUUAAGUUAUGUUUAAGUGGGACA